AUGGUAAACCCCACCCGGAGCAAGAUCAAAUAGAGGGACAGACGCGUGGCCCGCGCGGUUCCUGGGUAGAUUGCUUGAGCUGCAGGGUGACUUGCAGCCUAGAUGAAUGACUGUUCUCGACAGAACCCGGCUUAUAGGCCGGCUCUUUCU
rnacentral:RNase_P_RNA from 1 species